GUCACGCCCGAAGUCGUUACCUCAACCGCAAGGAGGGGGAUGCCUAAGGCAGGGCUAGUGACUGGGGUGAAGUCGUAACAAGGUAGCCGUACCGGAAGGUGUGGCUGGAUCACCUCCUUAAAGGGAGACCUAAUUCGGGUAUAAGACGAAAAAAAAGUAGUCCCUACCAAGAAUCAAUCCCAAAAGGUCGGAGCGAGGCAAAAUUGGCUUUCAAACUAGGUUCUGGGUUCACACAAGACCUGAAUCAGGAACAAGGGCUAUUAGCUCAGGUGGUUAGAGCGCACCCCUGAUAAGGGUGAGGUCCCUGGUUCGAGUCCAGGAUGGCCCACCUGCACAGGUGGCAAAAACAAAGAAAAGAAGCUGCGAAUCAGCACCUUAUCUUACUUAUAUAGUAAGAGAGAAUGCUGGCUCUGAGUUCAGAGUCCAGAGGAACCUUGAAAACUGCAUAGAGCUAGGUGAAAAAGCCAAAAAAGAAGACCGCAAGGUCAAGCUAAUAAGGGCUAACGGUGGAUACCUAGGCACACAGAGG
rnacentral:sRNA from 1 species